AAGGGCAUAGCUUAACCGGUAGAGCGCAUGCUUAGCAUGCACAAGGUCCUGGGUUCAAUUCCUAGUACCUCCU
rnacentral:tRNA from 1 species